GAUGAAGAACGCAGUGAAAUGCGAUAAGUAAUGUGAAUUGCAGAAUUCAGUGAAUCAUCGAAUCUUUGAACGCACAUUGCGCCCCCUGGUAUUCCGGGGGGCAUGCCUGUCCGAGCGUCAUUGCUGCCCUCAAGCACGGCUUGUGUGUUGGGCCUCCGUCCUCCUCCCGGGGGACGGGCCCGAAAGGCAGCGGCGGCACCGCGUCCGGUCCUCGAGCGUAUGGGGCUUCGUCACCCGCUCUUGUAGGCCCGGCCGGCGCUUGCCGACACAUCAAUCUUUUUUCCAGGUUGACCUCGGAUCAGGUAGGGAUACCCGCUGAACUUAAGCAUAUCAAUAAGCGGAGGA
rnacentral:misc_RNA from 1 species